UACGGAGGGUGCAAGCGUUGUUCGGAAUUACUGGGCGUAAAGGGCGCGUAGGCGGCCUCAUCAGUCCGGUGUGAAAGCCCGGGGCUCAACUCCGGAAGUGCACUGGAUACUGUGGGGCUUGAGUUCGGAAGAGGAGGGCAGAAUUCCCGGUGUAGGGGUGAAAUCCGUAGAUAUCGGGAGGAAAACCAGUGGCGAAGGCGGCCCUCUGGGACAGAACUGACGCUGAGGCGCGAAAGCGUGGGGAGCAAAC
rnacentral:rRNA from 1 species